rnacentral:lncRNA from 1 species
GGACCGCCGGGUCCUAGGGAAGCACGGCGGGUGGCAGUCCCCGCUCGCUUCCUGUCCUGAGGGCGGGGGCGGAAUGGGAGGCUCCAGCUGUGUGUUUAGGCAGAUAUGAGUGGAGCACCUGUUAUGAUGAGCCCAGCAGCACAAGGGUAACCAGAAGAGUUCCCAUCCAGAAGUUACUGUGAGGUCUGGGGACCAACCGUGGUUAUUUCUAAAGGAGAAAGAUGC